GACGAACGCUGGCGGCGUGCUUAACACAUGCAAGUCGAACGGAAAGGCCCUGCUUUUGUGGGGUGCUCGAGUGGCGAACGGGUGAGUAACACGUGAGUAACCUGCCCUUGACUUUGGGAUAACUUCAGGAAACUGGGGCUAAUACCGGAUAGGAGCUCCUGCUGCAUGGUGGGGGUUGGAAAGUUUCGGCGGUUGGGGAUGGACUCGCGGCUUAUCAGCUUGUUGGUGGGGUAGUGGCUUACCAAGGCUUUGACGGGUAGCCGGCCUGAGAGGGUGACCGGCCACAUUGGGACUGAGAUACGGCCCAGACUCCUACGGGAGGCAGCAGUGGGGAAUAUUGCACAAUGGGCGGAAGCCUGAUGCAGCAACGCCGCGUGCGGGAUGACGGCCUUCGGGUUGUAAACCGCUUUCGCCUGUGACGAAGCGUGAGUGACGGUAAUGGGUAAAGAAGCACCGGCUAACUACGUGCCAGCAGCCGCGGUGAUACGUAGGGUGCGAGCGUUGUCCGGAUUUAUUGGGCGUAAAAGGCUCGUAGGUGGUUGAUCGCGUCGGAAGUGUAAUCUUGGGGCUUAACCCUGAGCGUGCUUUCGAUACGGGUUGACUUGAGGAAGGUAGGGGAGAAUGGAAUUCCUGGUGGAGCGGUGGAAUGCGCAGAUAUCAGGAGGAACACCAGUGGCGAAGGCGGUUCUCUGGGCCUUUCCUGACGCUGAGGAGCGAAAGCGUGGGGAGCGAACAGGCUUAGAUACCCUGGUAGUCCACGCUGUAAACGGUGGGUACUAGGUGUGGGGUCCAUUCCACGGGUUCCGUGCCGUAGCUAACGCUUUAAGUACCCCGCCUGGGGAGUACGGCCGCAAGGCUAAAACUCAAAGGAAUUGACGGGGCCCCGCACAAGCGGCGGAGCAUGCGGAUUAAUUCGAUGCAACGCGUAGAACCUUACCUGGGUUUGACAUGGGUCGGGAGUGCUCAGAGAUGGGUGUGCCUCUUUUGGGGUCGGUUCACAGGUGGUGCAUGCCUGUCGUCAGCUCGUGUCGUGAGAUGUUGGGUUAAGUCCCGCAACAAGCGCAACCCUUGUUCACUGUUGCCAGCACGUUAUGGUGGGGACUCAGUGGAGACCGCCGGGGUCAACUCGGAGGAAGGUGGGGAUGACGUCAAGUCCUCAUGCCCCUUAUGUCCAGGGCUUCACGCAUGCUACAAUGGCUGGUACAGAGAGUGGCGAGCCUGUGAGGGUGAGCGAAUCUCGGAAAGCCGGUCUCAGUUCGGAUUGGGGUCUGCAACUCGACCUCAUGAAGUCGGAGUCGCUAGUAAUCGCAGAUCAGCAACGCUGCGGUGAAUACGUUCCCGGG
rnacentral:rRNA from 1 species